AAUCAGUGAUCAAUCAUGCUCAAAACAUUCGACAUAACUUAAUUUCUUUGUGGAAUGAUUGAGCUUGAUGGAUCGAUGAAA
ensembl:miRNA mir-1819 ncRNA